AUGGUCUCGAUGACCUCAUACUCGUCCCCCACCUCGAAGGUGACAUCGAGGGCCCGGGCCUUCAGCAGGGCCAAGGGACCCCCCCCCCCGGCUCCUUGUCCCCUGCCGGGGGGGUCCCGGUCCCGGCGCCCCCCGGCCUCCGCCUCCGUCUCCGCCAUGGCGCCUGCGUCACGUCAUCGGGUCGCCGGGUGUCCCCGCGGGCACGGCGGGCCCCGUCCCCAAGCCCCUGGGGACCCCGGGGUGGGGGGGACACACAAAAGGGGUUGGUUUUGUUUUUGGGGACUGGGGGGGGGGGGGGUCCAGGUGAUGGGGAGGGGACCCAAGGGAUUUGGGGGGGACCCGAGGGACUUGGGGACACCCCAAGGGACCUGGAGGGGGCCCAAGGGACUUGGGGACACCCAAGGGACCCCAGAAGGACCCAAGGGACCCCAAAGGGACCCAAGGAACCCCAGGGGGACCCAAGGAACCUGGAGGGGACCCAGGGCCUUGGGGACACCCAGGGUUUUGGGGACACCCAAAGGACCCCUGAAGGACCCAAGGGACCUGGAGGGGACCCAAGGGAUUUGGGGACACCCCAAGAGACCCCAGGGGGACCCAAGGGACCUAGAGGAGACCCAGGGCCUUGGGGACACCCAUGAGACCCAAGAAGGACCCAAGGGACCCCAAAGGGACCCAAGGGACCCCAGGGGGACCCAAGGGACUUGGGGACACCCCAAGGGACCCCAGGGGGACCCAAGGGUCUUGGGGACACCCAUGGGACCCAAGAAGGACCCAAGGGACAUGGAGGGGACCCAAGGGACCUGGAGGGGACCCAAGGGACCCCAGAGGGACCCAAGGGACCUGGAGGGGACCCAAGUGGUGGGGAGGGGACCCAGGGUUUUGGGGACACCCCAAGGGACCCCAGGGGGACCCAGGGUCUUGGGGACACCCAUGAGACCCAAGAAGGACCCAAGGGACCCCAAAGGGACCCAAGGGACCCCAGGGGGACCCAAGGGACUUGGGGACACCCAGGGGAUCCCAAAGGGACCCAAGGGACCUGGAGGGGACCCAAGGGACUUGGGGACACCCAAGGGACCCCAGGGGGACUCAGGGGAUCUGGAGGGGCCCAAGGGACUUGGGGACACCCAAGGGACCCCAGGGAGACCAAGGGUCUUGGGUACACCCAUGGGACCCAAGAAGGACCCAAGGGACCCCAAAGGGACCCAAGGGACCCCAGGAGGACCCAAAGGACCUGGAGGGGCCCAAGGGACUUGGGGACACCCAAGGGACCCGGAGGGCACCCAAGAGAUGGGGAGGGGACCCAAGGGACCCAGAGGGCACCCAAGGGACCUGGAGGGGACCCAAGGGACCUGGAGGGCACCCAAGUGGUGGGGGGGGGCCCAGGGUCUUGGGGACACCCAAGGGACCCCAGGGGGACCCAAGGGACCUCGGAGGGACCCAAGGGACUUGGGGACACCCAAGGGAUCCCAGGGGGACCCAAGGGACCUGGAGGGGACCCAAGGGAGACCCAGGGUCUUGGGGACACCAACAAGACCCAAGAAGGACCCAAGGGACCCAAAGGGACCCAAGGGACCCCAGGGGGACCCAAGUGGUGGGGAGGGGACCCAGGGCCUUGGGGCCACCCAAGGGACCCCAGAGGGACCCAAGGUACCUGGAGGGGACCCAAGGCCUUGGGGACACCCAAGGGACCCCAGAGGGACCCAAAGGACCUGGAGGGGACCCAAGUGGUGGGGAGGGGACCCAGGGGACUUGGGGACACCCAAGGGACCCCAGGGGGACCUAAGGGACAUGGAGGGGACCCAGGGGACUUGGGGACACCCAAGGGACCCCAGAGGGACCCAAAGGACCUGGAGGGGACCCAAGGGACCCGGAGGGACCCCAGGGCCUUGUGGCCACCCGGGACCACCCAAGGGACCCCAGAGGGACCCAAGGGACCUGGAGGGGACCCAAGUGGUGGGGGGGGGACCCAGGGCCUUGGGGCCACCCAAGGGACCCCAGAGGGACCCAAGGGACCCGCAGGGACCCCAGGUCAACCCCUCCCCC
rnacentral:lncRNA from 1 species